GUGCAAGAGCAGCUCCAGACUUCUGCCAGGCAACUUUCAGUUCAUCUGGGGAGGGCCUGGAAAAGUCAACCCUUGGGGAACUGCAUAGGUCACAGAAGAUGAUGAUCUUCUGCUCAUGGAGACUUCCCUUCCACGACUUACAGAAAAGGUUACCCCCUUCCCACCUGCAAGUCAUUUAUGAGCAAAAACACUCUUCAACCCAGAUGAGAAUAUUGAUGUCGUUAACGAUAAGUGACUUACGCAAAGACACAGUUAUAAAGUGUGAUGUUCAGGACUCUAACUCAAGACCAUUAAGAUCAAAAGACUGCAUUUUAUUUCUUUCUUGACAACAUGUGUGCUAAGAAUGUAUGCCUCAUGAAUUUUAUUCACUCAUUUUACAAUUAUAGAGUAUCAGCCAAGUCUGGAGAACAGUUCUAGAUGCUGGUUUUUAGGAAAUAAAGAAAUUCAUCUGCUGGA